UUGGAAAACCACUAGCCACAGAGGCUGGUGAGCAAAAAAUGUCAAGCCCUGCAUAUAUAUCAUAAAUAUUUUUACACACACACACACACA